rnacentral:rRNA from 1 species
CCCUUAGAUGUUCUGGGCCGCACGCGCGCUACACUGAUGCAUUCAACGAGUCUAAAACCUGCUCUGAUAGGGGUGGGUAAUCUUUUGAAUGUGCAUCGUGAUUGGGAUAGAUGAUUGCAAUUUUUCAUCUUCAACGAGGAAUGCCUAGUAAACGCAAGUCAUCAGCUUGCAUUGAUUACGUCCCUGCCCUUUGUACACACCGCCCGUCGCUCCUACCGACUGAAUGAUCCGAUGAAUAUCAUGGAUUGAGGAUGUAAGCAGGUUCGCCUGUCUUCAUCUUCGAGAAGUGAAGUAAAUCUUAUCAUUUAGAGGAAGGAGAAGUCGUAACA